UACAGAGGGGGCGAGCGUUGUUCGGAAUUACUGGGCGUAAAGGGCGCGUAGGCGGCCUUCUAAGUCGAACGUGAAAUCCCCGGGCUCAACCCGGGAACUGCGUCCGAUACUGGAAGGCUUGAAUGCGGGAGAGGGAUGCGGAAUUCCAGGUGUAGCGGUGAAAUGCGUAGAUAUCUGGAGGAACACCGGUGGCGAAGGCGGCAUCCUGGACCGGCAUUGACGCUGAGGCGCGAAAGCCAGGGGAGCAAACGGG
rnacentral:rRNA from 1 species